UACGAAGGGGGCUAGCGUUGCUCGGAAUCACUGGGCGUAAAGGGUGCGUAGGCGGGUCUUUAAGUCAGGGGUGAAAUCCUGGAGCUCAACUCCAGAACUGCCUUUGAUACUGGAGAUCUUGAGUCCGGGAGAGGUGAGUGGAACUCCGAGUGUAGAGGUGAAAUUCGUAGAUAUUCGCAAGAACACCAGUGGCGAAGGCGGCUCACUGGCUCGGUACUGACGCUGAGGUGCGAAAGCGUGGGGAGCAAACAGGG
rnacentral:rRNA from 1 species